UUUUCGUCGGAGCAGACAAUUUUUCGACCGUUUCGUAACGAACGGGUGUGGCGGAAAUGGCCGAACCAUGUAAAUUUCGACGCUUCGUCUAUGUUUAGUUUUGUUAUAAAAAUUACCGUGAGUGCAUACGUUUUGUACGCUGUUUCACUGAUUGUUAAAAAGUAAAAAUAAAUUUGUGCACGCUUCAGCACAAACCCCGCUUCAAAGGAGACAAGGAAACUUCGAUGACCAAACGUACUACAUUUUAUCCUCUUCAAGGCAAAAGGCGAUUCCAGUGCGAUUUUCGGAACUAUUAAGAUCAGAAAGACUAACGGACUUCGACGAAAAUUAUGAAAGUGUUACGAAUAUUGGAUCGGACAGCAUAAAACUUACUCCAGCACCAUUAUUAAGGCAUAGAUCUAAAGAUCCACUUAAUUAUGAACUACGAGUGGUGGAGGGGCCCAAGGAAAGUCACUUUUUAAAAAAGACCAGAGCUUGGUAUUUUUUGGUUGGAGUACUUUUAUUAAUAAUGAAUGCUAUUUCCAUUUAUUUGUUCUUAACAAAAAUUAAUCAAGAGACUGUUCCGGGCUCUUUAAAGAAAGAAGUGGAGACUGCUCUUGCCGGCAUUCGUUUUUUAACGUCCUUUAUGGAUGGAUUUCACAAAACAACAAUAAUGGCCUUACAAAAUAUCACUGCCUUAACACGCAAUGUAACCACCAUGGCUGAGAAAUUACAAAACCUAAAUAAACAAAAGCAGGUUUUAAAGAAACCUGUCAAGAGUAAAUUUCAACAAUACGAGCAGUCGAUGUAUUAUAACAAUGAAGAAGUAGAAACGUAAUUAAGUGGAUAAAUAACCUGUAAGCUAAAAUACUUCUCAAAUAAAAAAUAUAUAUAUACUAA